UUUACAUGUCGCCCCCCAGGAUCAUUCGUCAGGGUGCCCUCUCUGGAUCCCUUGCUGGAAAGAUGGGCACCGACCAGAGAAGGGAGUCUCCGAGGAAAAGUCAGUGCUGCCGGCGCUGGGUCUCUCAACACUGUUUUUCAGUCUCUCGAACAUCAACUGUGGACUUCAUAACCCUUUCGAAUUCCUUUAUCGCAUGGAUAAACAAGACUUCCAGUUGUGGGACAGCAACCACAAGGGACAAAAGAACACACGGCAGGCCGAGGGAAAUUUAUUUUCAUCAUAUAAACAGGACACACAGUACUCUUUCUCUCUUUAGGGCACAAAUCAUGGAAACAGCAUGAGUAUGAAUCAUAAUGAACUCUGGAUUCUUAGCUCAAGAAUUUUCGGACGAGGAAAAACCUCGCCUUGGACUCGUAUGAAUGCUACAUGGCAAAAGGCCUGUUGUUCUUAUUCCCAGUUUUCGAAUAUAGAAACUUCCCUGUUUUGUUUUAACAAGAAGGGUAAACUACAAGUGAAUGCUUACCUCAUUCUGAUUAAAACAGGCGUCGGCUCUAAUGCAUAUGGACAGCUGUUUUCAGAUUAAUUUUGAAAAUUUCAUUACAUCACGUUUGUGUUGCUUCCUUCACACUACCGUAGUUUUCUGAGAGCCUAAAUGAGUGAUUUAACACUUUUUCGAUUUUUGUAUUGGUCCGUGAGUGUGUUGUUUCAUUAAAAUACAAGAGGAAAGCAAGAAAAACUUGUUUGUGUCAACUAGCUAACAGUUUAAUAAUUUAGAUGGAUAUGUGCACAUUAAAAUGUCACUGUCGACAGCCUGUAGUUUUUAACUGUACAAUUAGAAUUCCCAUAAGAGCAUGACUUUAUUUAAAAAAAAUGUGUUUGGUUAUUUGUUCCUUAACCAGGAAUUUUCUAGGGUAUAAAAUACCCUUAUAAUUGGAAAAAUAUUAACAAAGAAACCUCUCUAGAUAAAAAUGCAUAAACCACAUAUUUCAAAAUAAAUACCACACUUUGGGGACUGAACACGGAAUAAGAAGUACCGUGUGAUUCUUCCUACACAGAGUUCCACUCUGCCAAGAUCCGAUAUUUUAAGAACACUCUUGAACUACCAGUUGGGGUGCCAGUCCUCCAGAAGUCUUCAGAGCAUUUGCAGGGUUUCCCAAAAGACGACCUCCGGAAUCCUUCCUCCAUUUGACUACUUCCAUGUUGCUUCAAGAACACUGGAAAUGCGGACACCACCUUCAGCCUUUCUUCCUGUAUCCCCCACAGUCAAUCAGCUACCAGGCCCAGGCUCUUCCCUCCAUCUGCUCAGCCAUCAUCCUGGCCCACGCCACCACCCCUCUCUUCCGGAGACCUUUGUAACAGUCUGACUGAUGACAGAUCUCUCCUCACCCCCUCUUUCAGAGUGAUCUCUUCAAAAUGCAGGUGUGGUUAGGCCCCUUGCCUGCUUACAGCCCCUUGGAAGCCCGCCCUGCUUGGACGGGAUUGUUGUAAUGUUACAUGAGAUAAGGUAGCACGGGGAAGUCAAGGAUGCUUUGUGAACUCACCCCUUACUGUCCAUGAUGGAAACACUGCCCUGGCUUGUCAAAUACCCACAAGCUGGCAUAGGUCUGCCAGGCCCAUGGGCUCUGAACCAGCGCUGAGCUGGAGGGGCAGCCUUGAAGAUACCCCUUACACAGAAACACACGCUUCAGUGCUUCAGGCCAGGAGGUACAAGGCCCCGUCCAGCUGGUGAGCAAGCUGUAUUCACAAGCCUCACUUGCCAAUCACUUGUUUGGCAUCUGGGAUACUAUUUCCCAGAAAUACCAUGUGAUAAAGAGUGAUAAGGUGCUCAUGCUAGCUCAUAAGGGCUGAUUUAACCCAUUAACUCAAAAGAGCCAUAUUUGCAAGAAAAAAAAAAAAGAGUAGCAAUCUAUUUAGGAUUUUUCUGGCACCAAAUGUAAGGAAGCUUGCUAGUUCCUUUAAUAAAACAACACCCUGAUCCUCUGCCCUGAGUAGAGGAGGGAGAAUCUCCCUGUGGGAUGCAGCAGCUGAAGUUCCUGGCCCAAUGCCUGUCCUUUCACUUUGGGACUCCAACUGGUCAGUGCUGCCCUGGCCUCAGAGUACUCGGGCUCAGUCUGGGGACAGACUCUGGCCUUCGUGCUCCACAGUACUGCAAGCCUUCAGUCUGAGGACGGCAUUCAAGAAUCAAACUCAGGAAAGUAACUUAUAAGGGCUGCUAGAUGUGACUGCCCGCAGGCUCCUUGCCACAAGUAUUCCAUGGGGCUGUGCCCAGCUACCUCUCCUCCCCCAAGCAGAAGUCCGCACUCCCCAGGACCUGGGAGAAAGUCCUCAAGCACACCUGAAUUUGGCAGAGACAAGGCCUAUGAUAAUAAGACACAAAGAGAAGAAACAGGACGUCUCUGCAUGACCAGGAGUUGUAAUGACAAUUUUCUUACAGAAAGUGUGGCCUCCUAGCACAGAGGUGAGGCUUCAUGGACCCCCAAAAGUCAUGACAGUCCUACAUCAGCACAAAAGCUGCAUACUUUGUGUGUAUGUGUGUGCGUGUGCGGGGGGCGGAGGGGAACUGGGGGUGACAGGGAUCAGGAUUGCUUCUCACACCUAUGUGCCAGGCGCUGACUAGGCACUGAGAGAUUAAAAAGAGUUAAAUAAGGAAAUGUUUCUGUCCUUGGGAAACACUCCAAACUGCUGGGGGGACAGAUACAGACCCAACUACCUAUGACGCAGUCUCCAAACUUGGGGGUACUGACCAUGACACGCGUCACACAUUCCCGCAGCGCAGGCACUGGGCCCUCAAGCCCUCUGGUUCUCUGUCCUGACUGUGGGAGGGACAGCACCAAGGGGCCCACUGACGUGCCGGUCAGCCAAGCGCAGCUGGAAGCGCCCCGCCUCAGAUGGGAGCAGCGGAAGGAAUUCCAGACGGCAUCCGGUCCCUGACAUCUUCUUCCUCAUGCAAGGGAGAGUGACACCUGUCACCGGGGUGUUUGGCCAGCUUCCUGCUUCUUGCUGCUCCUCCUCCUCCUCUCGCCGUUCCCGGUAAGAGACUCUGAAACUUGCUUGGAAAUCCAUUAAAACGUUUAAGAAACAUUUUUCUCCAACAGUAUUUUCUCCCUAAUUAUUUGUCAAAGGUUCCUCUUGUUGGAUGUUUGGUGGAAUUAGAGUGUCAAAUAGUUGAUGUGCACCCCAGACGAAGACGACUUCACCGUUCCUCCAUCCCUCAGCCUUCUCUGUUCUAGCUACACAGCUCUACUGCCCUUGAGGGUCCCAGAUCGUGCUGGCCCUUCCCUGAAUUCAAUCCCCGUUCUCGCUGAGUCACAAAAUGGAAGUCAUCACACAGUUUGCACAGCAAAUUGUCACCAAAAGUGUGUGAUCGCCCCCAAUCUGUAAAACCUGAAGAGUACUACACUCUUAGUAUCCGUCACCUUGUAAAGCACGCUGAGGAAAAGUGACUGCAGCCGCCACCACAAUCACAUCUAGGGCUCACCCUUCGCUUUGAUUUCCUGAGUCCAGCGAUAAACCAAGUCAGUCUUUAUGAUAAACUGUUUUUGAAAGAAGCAAGGGCAUUAAGUGAUUUAAAUUACCCACAUGCUCCCUGUAAGCUCUGCAUCUAUCCUAGCAUCCUUGAAAGAUAGGGGACAACAUCGUCAUCUAACAAAGCCCUGUGUACAUACGGCAGGGCAGAGGUUGGGAAUUUGCACACAGGCAGGAGCCUCGACCUUGGACCCACUGAACCUUGAAGAGCUGUGACCCACCGGCUCACCUCCCCCAGACAUCAGGGCCCACAUUCACAUGUGAUGAGCUCACACCUCUCACAUUGGCCCCUGGCCCCCACCCUGUGGAAUGGAGCAUUUCGGCCUCUGUGGUUUUCUCUGGCACAAAGGACGUCUAUUUCAGCAUCAAGCGAACUUUCUUCAUGAGAAUCUAGCUCUGAGUUUUAAGAAUCAAAGCCAAUAAAAAUAAAACAUUUAUUAUAGUUUACAACUAAUUUUUAGGAACAUAUGUACUAUACUCUCAAUGCAUAGUCUUCAUAAAUAUUAUCUACUUGUAAUGAACUGAGCUAUUUCACCAAAUUACCUUUAAAUCGAAUUUCCAGAUCUCUGAUGAAAAUGUAGUCCAGCCUCUGGGAAUCAUAGAUUCAAAGGGAGUUUACAAAGUAAAAUCUUUGGAUCUUAUGCUAUAUUGUAUGGUUACUGUGUGGCCUAGGAUUCUGUUAAUACUUUACUCAGAUCACCUCAUUUAAUCCUCACAACAACCCUAACAGGUAGUUACUAUUAUUCUCCCAUUUUACAGAUGGGGAAACUGAAGCGUAGAGAGGUUUUUACCUGCCCAUAGUCAUAGAGCUAACUAAGUGGCAGAGCUGCCCUCCAGCAGUCUGGCUCCACCGCUCUUAAGUUAAGCAUUCUUCCCAGAAUGUGAAGAGAAUGGCAAUGUGUGAUGCAUUCACUUUGUGGGAAAUAAAAGUUUAAUGUUUAAUCAGCAUAUGUUUAAAAUCCAUUAGCAUUACCUUGAGGGCACCACACUCCUGAAUUCCAAGCAAUGGUGACUUGCGGUCCCUACUUUCAUUCCCUCCCCACUCGUGGGACUCCGUGUCAUGGCCCUGCUCAAGGUCACACAGCCCCGUCAUCGUGUUCAGAGUCAUUAGUGGAAAGGGCCUGACUUUCUUGCUGCAGGAUGAGUUAAGACAACUGAAGUGACCCACCCAGGACUAUUUCUCUCCCUCCUGCUGCUGAAAAGACACCACACCAGGAAAAACAGGAAGCUGGUUACCAAAUACGCCAGAACAACAACUCCACUGUCGGGAGCGACUGGCAAGAAGCACAGCCACUGCCGUGUUCCUGGGCCUCCUGCCUGGAAGGAAGCAGCCAGCCCCAGGGGAGUGCUGGGCGUGCCACAGGCAGCCCUGGGUGAGCACUGAGGCUUGUUCCUCCUAACAGGUCAUUCAGCCACCGGGGCAGCCCGCUACGCCCCAGGAUACAGAGUGGAAAAAAGGAUCCGCGUUUACUGGGCACCUGCCAGUGUUUGUUCACAAUCCCAGUCCCAUACCUGGAAGACCUAUUUUGAAGCAGCUGCUUUGAGAAGAGCCAUACGUGACCACCUAAGACCAUCAAGGCGAGGACCCGAAUUCCAGAGAUGUCAGAAGGCUGCACGGCUGUUUGAUGACACGAUUCUGUAAUCUAGGAUCUCUGAGGUCAAGCUUUGAUCCUGAAAUUGACACUCUGGGAGCCAUGUAUGUCUCAGCAAGUGCACGCAGCAGGAGAGAGACAAAGGAAGCAGGUUUUUAGCUGGGACAGAGGCAGGAGUAAUGUCCCCACUGGGCUCCGUGCCCCGCCUGUGACCCCUACCACAGUCAAAGCUGUUUACUGACUGCGACUCUCUUCAGUGCUGAACUUUAUGUUCAACCACGUGGCUUCGCACAGACUCCUUCCUUUGCACCUCAUAAAGAGAAUGUGUGGGUCAGGGUAGGUGUCGUCAGCUGCGGGUUAGGAGGGGAAAAGUUAAUGCUCAGAGGGUGAAGUGAUUUACUCGAGGUCAAGUCAGAGAGGCAGAAAGGGGUGAGAACGACAGUCCAGCCUCAGCGGGUGGGAUCCUCCCUUGCUCCCUCCCCUCCACCACGGUGAGACGGCACACCUGUGUACUCUUUAGAAAUCGGGGCUCGAACAUUCUAUGCCAACCAAGACACCCGUGAUUCUUGUCCUAGUGACUCCGCUCUAGAGAUCGUAUUUCUCCCAGUCCCUCCCUCCAUCCCUCCCAUGAUCCUGGUGAACCAUGCAUGGAGGCACUCGUGAAAGAUGGGAGCCCCGAAGGACCAGCUCCUCCCCUACUUGCAGGCAUCUUUUUUUGGAGCUGGAAAGGAUCUUAGAAACUGUAUCCGCCGUUCUGGCAAGAAACAGAUGGCACUCUCAAACUGGGUGAUUUGAGGAGCGUUUAAUAAAGGGACCAUUUACAGAGGGGUGGGGAGGCGGUAGGGGAAGCAUGGCGCAGUGUUCUGGGUCUGGUAGCAGUGCCACGUUUACACCCCUAGGACCAAAGGGGUGAAGGAGGAGAGGCUACUGGAACCCGAGGCAGACUGCCCUGGGGAGAGGGUUGCCUGCCAGGAGCCCAGACCUGCUGAUGCCACAGGGAGGAGCCCGGAGAUUCAGUAUUUGGUCCUUGCUCUCCUUCCCUCCCAAAUCCCGACACGUUCCUAUUGUGCCAAGAUGACAAGAGAAGGCCAGGACGAAAGGGAGCCCAGCCCAUUCAUGUAGUCCCUACUGGUCAGCUUCUAGAGCACAGCGAGGAUGGGGAAAGGUGGAGAGUGGAUCUGGAGGGGCAAACAGAAAGCAUCCAGCCUAAGAACAAACUAACCCGGCCCCCUACCAUGAAAGGUACUAUACCUCUGGGGAAAAGGCCUGGCCCAGAAUCUCAGAAGAUGAGCUGCAUAGCUGGACUGGAAACUCAGUCCCUGGGAGCCAGUCCACACUCCUCCACGCUCCAUUUGACCUGAGGAUUCCUCUUCCCAUAAGCAUGACUCAAAUCUUGAAAAAUAAUAGGCCUUCAAAUCACCUGGAAAUUGUUUAUUCUCAUGGUCUGUAUAUUCCAACACUACCCUUUACUGGUAUAACUCCCCGGAGCUACACCCAAAAUGCCAACUUUGCUCAUACUGUAUGUUACACCUUCGACAGGAGAGGUCUACCAGGUCAGAAUAAAACAUUUUGCAGCAGGUACACCCACGCACACACAGACUGGGGAGGAGAACAUGUAUGCGGUUCUGCUGUGACCUCAGCUGUGGCACAAGAAAGUCCUUCCAGCCAACCUCCCAGUUCCCAGCCAGCCCCUGGCCUUCGGUGAACUGGCAGAGCACUCUCCCAUUCUACUUACAUACAGAAAUAGCAACUGUGCAUUGACCCAAGAGUUGCCCAGGCCUGGAAAAAUCCUCCAGGAUAUUUUAGAAAUCACAUGUUCUUCCAAGCAUUUUUAAAGUUGACGGGGGAACUGGCUGGCUAAAAAAAAUGGGCAAAUGACUGAGAUCCUUUUUGUAGGCAUUCUCUGCUCUACAAAUUAAAAACGGAAGAUCGAAAUCUUAUUUGACUCUCAAUUUCCUUAUAAAUCCUAUAAACCUUACCCCCUAUAUAAAGCAAGACAGGCUUCUGAAUUCUUUGGAUGACAGUCUUUUCUCAAGAAAACCAUGAAAAGACUAUCAAUGACUAAUCUCAUGAAGAUAUUAGCAUGAUAGUUCUACAAAUGCAACAUUAAAAACACCAGAGAACUCUU